UGACCUCGGAUCAGGUAGGAAUACCCGCUGAACUUAAGCAUAUCAAUAAGGCGGGAGGA
rnacentral:rRNA from 1 species